CAGCGAAAACCACGUACCACGCAAGUUAACCCCCGUGGUGCAUAUCACCACGAUCGAGAAGAACCACGAAACGUGGGCAUAUUCACAUCAAAUCGUGGUACAACUUUCAAAAUGUGUGUAAAAAUCACUGAAGAGCUUUAUCCUCGAAAAAUUAACCCAUGAAAUAUGGUACUUGUGGUACUAUUCACCUCGUAUGAUCACAAGCUCUGGAAAUCAACCAUGUUCGUGGUGCAUUAGCUCACGCGUGAACCUACGUGGUAUUUGUGACGUAAGAAUUUCUAUUGCCUCAAAAAUUUAACCCACAAUCAGUGGUGCAUAUGCCCAUGUGUGGUUAAACGAGGUACUAUAGAUCUGUAAGUUAUAUAGACCUCAAAAAUUUAACCCACACUUGGGGUGCAUUUGCUCACACGAUGGUUUUACGUGAUACUUCUCAUUUUUAUUAUCAUCUUUUGCAAAGAAAAUCAACCCCACUUCGUGGUGCAUUUGUCCACGAUCGUGGUACAAGAGUGUGAACUUAAUUUUUUUCACUUCAUUGUACCACAUCGCUAGUCACAGUAGGUACAAACGCAGAAAAUCAAUCCCUAUUCGCGGUGCCAUUCGCCACGAUCGUGGUGAAAAUAUGUAUACAUAAUAAUUGUUAGAGAAAUAUUUUUAAUUAUUUUUAUAAUUAAUGAUUUUAUAAUUAUUGAAUAAUAAAUUACAAACUUUUAAUAUUUAUUUGGUUUAAUUAAUUUUUUUUAAUAUUAUUUUUAUAUAAUUGUUUAUUGCGAUUUUAUUAUUAUACUUUCGUUUGAUAUUAAAUUUUGUUAAUUUUUUUUACAACGGGUCUGUAAUAUUUAAACUGUCCCUUUUUUGGUGUAAUUUAUCCAAAUUUCUUUAAUUAAUGAUUAAUUAUUUAUAGGCUUUGAUUAAUUAUUUAUAGAAAUUUAAAUGAAAAAAUGCACCCAUGAUGACACACUUUUCCAAGAAAAAUGUUUUUAAGAAACAUGUGGUCCGUGAUCCGCAGUGGAAAAUUUUGUGCAAGAAAUAUUUUUAUGAUAUGCAAUAAAAUGUUUGUUUGCAUGGGUCCCUUUUUUCCUCGUGCGUCCUCACUCUAAUACCGUCCAGAGUUCGGUCUAUGGUAUUCAAAGUUUCUCACUCAUCUUUUAGUUUUCUUGAGAUCGUUGGAGUGGUAAGAAUGAGAGGAAGACCAUAGUUUUAUAAAUUAUGUGAUCUAAAAUUAAUUACAAAAAAUUAAGUGGUUCUAUGCAUCUGUAGACAAAUAGAAGCGCCCCAUUUUUUUUUAAACUCCAUCGAAUAGUACCUUGCAUCUCUUUUGAAGACGACCUCUCACUCUCGUCCUUUCCGAUUCAGAAAUUAGCAGUUUCUUGGGCAUUUAGUCGGCAUCUAAAUGGACGUGUGACCAAGCCAGCGAAGUCUCAUCGAUGCCGAGAUGUCCGGUUCUCCGUAAAGGCACUUCAACUCCUUGAUUCGUCCUCAAACGGAACUCAUCAGUUAGUGCAUCGUUCACGGAGCCGUAAUGCCAAAAAACGAGGGAAAUCAUCUAAAUGGAUGGAACCCUUAUCAAUAAAAAAACGAGGAAAAAAUUAAAUUCUAUUCGAAUCAAAUGACCAGCACGCCAAAAGUUAAGCGAGUUCAAGAAACGUAAAGUUUAUUAGCUGUGAUUGUUUAUGCUGGAUGUCUUUAAGGAGGAGGUGACAUAGUUCGAGUUAUCCCAGAAGACAGAAGUCUCCACACUAACAGUCUUAAAGCAAGGAGAAGAUCUCUUGUGAGUAUUGUAUGUAUUGUAGUGGCAUUUUUUUAAUAAAUUAACUUAAGAAACGAGAAAUAUAUUGAUGGUAUUUUCAGAUAAAAAUUAAAAUCAAAAUAAAGAAUACCCAAGAUUACGUACCUACUUAUAAUGUUUCAAGAAAAUUUCCUAAAUUUAAGGCCCAUUCUUAUGAUUUUAGGAGUUGAAUAUAUUUCAAGAUUUUCUAUUCUGAGGUAGAGUCAUAAUUAAAUUAUAAUCUGAAAUUUAUUGAUUUCACGUAAAAUAACGUAAGUUUUUGAUUUCUAUCUUAAUUUUGAAACGUUCUGUAUCGCAGAAUACCACCAACUAUCACGAUAAUUUAUUGUGAUUAACAUAAUAUUUAUUUGCAUUUGCGUCUGUUGUAAUAUCAUAGUACUUUACAAAAUAGACUUAAUAUUACUUUUUAUAAUAAUAAAAAAAUAUCUGUAUUUAUAACAAAUAAUAAUUUGUAAUAAUGAUAAUUUAUGUAUAUUUAUUGUACUGUUAUAUGUAUUGAAAUAAAAUAAAACAAAAAUAAAAAAAAAUAUAUUUUUUAAAUUUUCUGUACCACGAAUGUGGGUUGAAUUUCUGCGUCUGCACCACGAUCGUGGCGAAUGGCACCGCGAAUGUGGGUUAAUUUUCUGCGUCUGCACCACGAUCGUGGUGAAUGGCACCGCGAAUAGGGGUUAAUUUUCUGCGUCUGCACCACGAUCGUGGCGAAUGGCACCGCGAAUGUGGGUUAAUUUUCUGCGUCUGCACCACGAUCGUGGUGAAUGGCACCGCGAAUGUGGGUUAAUUUUCUGCGUCUGCACCACGAUCGUGGUGAAUGGCACCGCGAAUAGGGGUUAAUUUUCUGCGUCUGCACCACGAUCGUGGUGAAUAGCGCCACAAAUAUGGGUUAAAUUGGAAAGUUUUGAAGCACAAUUCGUGAUCAUUCGUGGUGCAUAUGACCACAGGAACCAGUUUGCGUGGUUAAAUAUGUGACGCUUUUUUGAACUUUCAACUUUCAAAGUUUUGAACUUUUUCGUAAAGCUGUGUCCAAAAACCACGUGUGGUGAAAUGUGGCGAUAUUAACCACGUUGCAUCACAAAUAGGGGU